rnacentral:lncRNA from 1 species
AAUGUUUGGAAGGAUAUUUAUUGAACAAAUAUUUAUUGAGCACACGCUAUAUAUCACUUGUCAUUCUUCUAGGUACUGAGGUGAUACCUAAAAUGUAAGCAGUGUUUAUUUUAAAGUGACCAGGCUACAGAUAAUUUAUUUUUCUUUUUGCUUAUUUGCACUUCCUAUAGUGACCAAGUAUCAUUUAUGUAAUUUGUAAGUUAAUCUUUAAAUAUCCAAACUAAACCAUAUUCAGUUGAGAGAAGGUGUUAUGAAGGGAGUUCUUAAAAUAUACACUGUUCAAGUCUGAGCUUGCGGCCACAGGAAAGAAAAAUUAUAGAUUGCAAACAUGUUGAAAAGGCAGUGCCUAUGUCACAUAGUGCAAAAGCUUACCCCCUCCUCUAAGCUGGGUGCUGCCCAGGUAACCUGCAUAAGAGCAGCUCUGUCUUCCUUUGAACACACACUAUUGAUCCCGAGUUCCUUGUAUACCUCAGAGGAAGCAGUAAAGUUCACAUAAAGACGCAUACAUGGCUUUCUGUCUUUUCCAAUAGUUCCCCAUAUUUAAGGCUUUGUCAUUCCUCCUACAGGAUCAAGCAUUUAAAGUGAGCCCUUCAAGCACAGGCAGACCAUACCUCCAUUGUUGAAU